AUUGAACGCUGGCGGCAGGCCUAACACAUGCAAGUCGAGCGGAGCGGCGGACGGGUGCGUAAUGCCUAGGAAUCUGCCUGGUAGCGGGGGAUAACGUCCGGCAACGGGCGCUAAUACCGCAUACUAUCAGAUGAGCCUAGGUCGGAUUAGCUAGUUGGUGGGGUAAAGGCCUCACAAGGCGACGAUCCGUAACUGGUUUGAGAGGAUGAUCAGUCACCCUGGAACUGAGACACGGGCCAGACUCCUACGGGAGGCAGCAGGGGGGAAGAUUGGACAAUGGGCGAAAGCCUGAGCAAGCCAUGCCGCGUGUGUGAAGAAGGUCUUAGGAUUGUAAAGCACUUUAAGUUGGGAGGCGUUACCAACAGAAUAAGCACCGGCGAACUUCGUGCCAGCCGCCGCGUUAAUAC
rnacentral:rRNA from 1 species